rnacentral:rRNA from 1 species
UGGGGAAUAUUGCACAAUGGGGGAAACCCUGAUGCAGCGACGCCGCGUGAAGGAAGAAGUAUCUCGGUAUGUAAACUUCUAUCAGCAGGGAAGAUAGUGACGGUACCUGACUAAGAAGCCCCGGCUAACUACGUGCCAGCAGCCGCGGUAAUA